GAUGCACUAAUUGUAGACAUCUUACAUUGCUCUCCAAAUUCUUUGACAUUUCUCCAAACACGCAUUUCUCCACACUCUCUCAUGAAAAACAUGAAAGAAAGACAAUCAUCCCGUGCCCUCUCUGGUUGCCAAGUCCUCUGAAUCCUGCUUUGCAGAGUUCAUCAUCCUGUCUUACUUAUGGUUUCUGCUGAAUUGGGUUCUGCGUUGAAUGAAAGGUUGCUUUCUAAGGGAGAGACCUCCUUUGGAAAUUAGAGGUGGCAGGGCUCUGCGUUCACAAGUGAGUAGUGGAUUCGCCACAGAUUCGGUGCUUGGGGUGGCGUUGCGGGGAGUUCAGUUGGGUUGAUGGAGCCAUCUGCGGGACGAAGACGAGAUUUUGAUGGAAAAAGAGAUGUCGGAGAACAGUGUAAUCGCUACAGACCUUUCUGCUGUUGUACUUGACUCAAUAUUGGCUACCUGAAAAUCCUGUUGAUGUUGUGUCCACGUUGUGCGCGUGUCGAAUUUUCUGAGGCCUUGUUCGCACUACACCACCUCGUCUCCGUUUGCAAACUCGACAAUUUGAUGAGAUACCCGCAGCAAAUUUGCGAAGUCGCAUCGUAGCACAGGGAGUCUCUUGGACUUGGGCUGCCUGGACCACCAUUCGAACCCAUAUGUGCACCACUAGGAAGCUGGAUCUGGCUGGAUCCUCAUUAUUUAAGGGGAUGGCCUGUCAGCGAUUUUGGCAAACUUACGAUGUUAGGAGCGACUCCUUUUAGACAACUGCCAGAUACUAUACCUCUCUCGUUUUGCUUGUGUACCGAAUUUGCUUUACAUUGAGAAGGUUCAAAUGAACGUGUUCAGUGAUGCAUGGAAACUUUAGUCUUUAUUGCACAGAAAUAAAUGGCCAUCAUUCAAUUUGCUUUUGCAGGCUAUGGUUUGCCCCCACCUUGAGAUCCUAUUUUUGGGUGGAUCAAGGCAGGGUUGUCGAGGCUGCAUCACUGGACACUAUUCCCUGAACAAUAUCGGCACCAAUCAGUUAAAUUGAGGAGGUUUAUUCUCAGGCUGAGAUUCUUUGAAUUGACAUUCAUUGCUGUUGCGGUUGUUCAGGCUGUGAGGUAAGUGAUCUACAUUGUUACAUCCAAUGGUGGCGUCUCAGCUUAUGAUUGAAUUGUGUUGUGUACAUGUGAAACUCGGAUUCUUGGAUGGUCUUAGUGAUGAUGGAGGAGUGCACACAUGGGCUCUUCAAGAACAUGAAAAUCGUUUCCAAGUAAUGAUUUAUCAUUUUUUUACAGAAUAAAAAUAGGGAGAAAUUUCUUGAACUUCUUGCUUUGAAUGAUGUUCGUUUCCGUCUCUUUGUUGAGGUUUCAUCGGUUGCGUAGCAGGGAGCAGGAUGACAUCAGUGUUUUCAAAAGAAAUCUCGAAUCUGGGGUUUUUAUGAGGAAAGUUCCGUAGCAGAAGUUGCGCGGGUCCCCGAUGAACUGAUAAACGUCAAGCCUGGAAAUGCUGUGAAUGACCUUCGACGACACAUUCCCAGUCCUAAGGUUAGGGCUAACAGCCUCUCACGACAAUACACUACUCCCGUUUAGUUUUGCAAAAUCAUCAGGGCUCAAUUUUGAGAAGAUAGGUUAAAUUUUAUUCGAUGUCUAAGUUUUGGAUCCUGCUCAUACACUAACUUCAAUGCUAGUGUGAGAAGUUCUAACCCCCCCAAAUUGAGGUCAGAUCGGAUUCAUUAAUUAAGGAUGUUACCAUCGGCUUGUGUGGAGCAACUAACUCUUUUGAUGCCAGAAACUGAUCACCGUUGCUUAGAGCAGCCCAGGCGUGGCGAUGUGCGCAUGAAUGCUGGCCCGAUUGCAAUCGGUUCAGCGGCAGUGGGGAUGAACGAUUCAUCAGGAAAUGAUUUUUAUUUUAUUUUUUAUUUUUUUUGGUAUCAGCAUCUUGAUGUACAUCAGCUUGCAUAGGUCGAGAGUUGAGGCUUGGAAAAAGAAGAAAAAUAACAUAUACCCCAAGAAAUCCAUGAGAUGAUACACUUUCUUAGCCACAACAACCUUUGGUUUUGGUGCAUAACAACUCCUACUUAAUUUAGUGAAAUACAAUUUUUGAAAGUUUGAUUCCAACUGUUUAGGUCCCAAGGCAUUGAGGUUUUAGUUCCAGCUUCUCUUUCAAUGAGAAAAUGAAUUUUUCACCUUAGAUUGCAUUUGUUUGGUCUGUAAUGUGACCUAGAGUUUUAUGCAAAAUAAAAGUUGAUACUUUA